rnacentral:ncRNA from 1 species
GUUAAAACGUAGAUGAGGACAAGUAAGUACAAGAUUUUCUCAAGAGAAACAGUGGUUGGUGAGAACUGUUGUGAAUCCGUACUGAAAUCCACCUCGGAGUGAAAGUAAACCUUUCCGGUUAUCGCCGUUAACGAUUCAAGCGACUGAUGUUUCACGUGAAACAUCAGUAAUUAGGGUGGCAACACGAGGCAUCGUCCCUGAC